UGCAGUCGAGCGGAGUGAUAGUGCUUGCACUAUCACUUAGCGGCGGACGGGUGAGUAAUGCUUAGGAAUCUGCCUAUUAGUGGGGGACAACAUUUCGAAAGGAAUGCUAAUACCGCAUACGUCCUACGGGAGAAAGCAGGGGAUCUUCGGACCUUGCGCUAAUAGAUGAGCCUAAGUCGGAUUAGCUAGUUGGUGGGGUAAAGGCCUACCAAGGCGACGAUCUGUAGCGGGUCUGAGAGGAUGAUCCGCCACACUGGGACUGAGACACGGCCCAGACUCCUACGGGAGGCAGCAGUGGGGAAUAUUGGACAAUGGGCGCAAGCCUGAUCCAGCCAUGCCGCGUGUGUGAAGAAGGCCUUAUGGUUGUAAAGCACUUUAAGCGAGGAGGAGGCUACUUUAGUUAAUACCUAGAGAUAGUGGACGUUACUCGCAGAAUAAGCACCGGCUAACUCUGUGCCAGCAGCCGCGGUAAUACAGAGGGUGCAAGCGUUAAUCGGAUUUACUGGGCGUAAAGCGCGCGUAGGCGGCUAAAUUAAGUCAAAUGUGAAAUCCCCGAGCUUAACUUUGGGAAUUGCAUUCGAUACUGGUUAGCUAGAGUGUGGGAGAGGAUGGUAGAAUUCCAGGUGUAGCGGUGAAAUGCGUAGAGAUCUGGAGGAAUACCGAUGGCGAAGGCAGCCAUCUGGCCUAACACUGACGCUGAGGUGCGAAAGCAUGGGGAGCAAACAGGAUUAGAUACCCUGGUAGUCCAUGCCGUAAACGAUGUCUACUAGCCGUUGGGGCCUUUGAGGCUUUAGUGGCGCAGCUAACGCGAUAAGUAGACCGCCUGGGGAGUACGGUCGCAAGACUAAAACUCAAAUGAAUUGACGGGGGCCCGCACAAGCGGUGGAGCAUGUGGUUUAAUUCGAUGCAACGCGAAGAACCUUACCUGGCCUUGACAUAGUAAGAACUUUCCAGAGAUGGAUUGGUGCCUUCGGGAACUUACAUACAGGUGCUGCAUGGCUGUCGUCAGCUCGUG
rnacentral:rRNA from 1 species